AUUGAACGCUGGCGGCAGGCCUAACACAUGCAAGUCGAACGAGUGGCGGACGGGUGAGUAAUGUCUGGGAAACUGCCUGAUGGAGGGGGAUAACUACUGGAAACGUUAGCUAAUACCGCAUACCAUCAGAUCUGCCGAGAUGGGAUUAGCUUGUUGGUGGGGUAACGGCUCACCAAGGCGACGAUCCCUAGCUGGUUUGAGAGGAUGACCAGCCACACUGGAACUGAGACACGGUCCAGACUCCUACGGGAGGCAGCAGUGGGGAAUAUUGGACAAUGGGCGCAAGCCUGAUGCAGCCAUGCCGCGUGUGUGAAGAAGGCCUUCGGGUUGUAAAGUACUUUCAGCUGGGAGGCGUUACCCGCAGAAGAAGCACCGGCUAACUCCGUGCCAGCAGCCGCGGUAAUUC
rnacentral:rRNA from 1 species